rnacentral:siRNA from 1 species
AAGGUGUUAAUCGCGAGUGC